rnacentral:rRNA from 1 species
UACGUAGGCAGCAAGCGUUGUUCGGAAUUACUGGGCGUAAAGAGUGUGUAGGCGGUGCUCUAAGUCUGUUGUGAAAUCUCCCGGCUUAACUGGGAGGGUGCGACGGAGACUGGAGUGCUAGAGUGUGGGAGAGGUAAGCGGAAUUCCUGGUGUAGCGGUGAAAUGCGUAGAUAUCAGGAGGAACACCUGUGGUGUAGACAGCUUACUGGACCACGACUGACGCUGAGACACGAGAGCGUGGGUAGCAAACAGG